rnacentral:rRNA from 1 species
UACGAAGGGGGCUAGCGUUGUUCGGAAUUACUGGGCGUAAAGCGUGCGCAGGCGGCUGCUCAAGUCAGGGGUGAAAGCCCAGAGCUCAACUCUGGAAUUGCCUUUGAGACUGAGUGGCUUGAGUACGAGAGAGGUGAGUGGAAUUCCCAGUGUAGAGGUGAAAUUCGUAGAUAUUGGGAAGAACACCGGUGGCGAAGGCGGCUCACUGGCUCGUAACUGACGCUCAGGCACGACAGCGUGGGGAUCAAACAGG